GGAGGCGCGAGCAGCCGAACACAGAGGAGAACGGCGAGAUGCGAGCACCCGACGUGGAGGAUCCGGCGAGAGGCCCGAGAGCAUGAAGACGGAAGUUCUUGAGUGCGAUGGACGGUGGCAGCAGUCUCUCAUCCAACAGACGGCGACAACUAUUGGUGGAGGCUAGGGUUUGCUUUUUUUGGUGGAGGCUAGGGUUUGCUGAAGGAAG
rnacentral:lncRNA from 1 species